GGGAAUAGCCCCAUUACCCCGCGCAUCCAGCGCGCCCAGCCAGGCGUGAAAAGCAAAGCCAGUGUCAUGGCAAUGGCAGAUGGCACGAAGUGGGAGGGAGGGCUCCGUCCCCGACCUCUGGAUGGACCGCGCUCCUAAUUAGCUCUGGAGCAGAGAGUAAUUAAACCCGGAGGCUAGACUUGUCACGACCAGCCAGCAUCCCAAGCCCCUGCCCCGAGAGUGGCUGCCUAUGGGGGUGCAAAAUACCCCGAAACUUCAGCUCCCAUCCGCAUGCCGAAGCGUCGCUGCUCUGGCACCCCGGAGAGCCAGAGGGGAGAGGAUGGCCGGGGCCAGGGCAAAACUCAGAAUUCAUUUAAUUAAAGCAGGCACGGCAUGCCACACAUUAGCCAAAAACCUAUUACAUGGGUGCCAGACCAUGUACAUGACAGAGAGCCCGGAUGCUUGUUCCAUUGCACAGUCAAAAGCAGUUCCAGCAAA